GACGAACGCUGGCGGCGUGCCUAAUACAUGCAAGUCGAACGCUUCUUUCCUCCCGAGUGCUUGCACUCAAUUGGAUAGAGGAGUGGCGGACGGGUGAGUAACACGUGGGUAACCUACCCAUCAGAGGGGGAUAACACUUGGAAACAGGUGCUAAUACCGCAUAACAGUUUAUGCCGCAUGGCAUAAGAGUGAAAGGCGCUUUCGGGUGUCGCUGAUGGAUGGACCCGCGGUGCAUUAGCUAGUUGGUGAGGUAACGGCUCACCAAGGCCACGAUGCAUAGCCGACAUGAGAGGGUGAUCGGCCACACUGGGACUGAGACACGGCCCAGACUCCUACGGGAGGCAGCAGUAGGGAAUCUUCGGCAAUGGACGGAAGUCUGACCGAGCAACGCCGCGUGAGUGAAGAAGGUUUUCGGAUCGUAAAACUCUGUUGUUAGAGAAGAACAAGGACGUUAGUAACUGAACGUCCCCUGACGGUAUCUAACCAGAAAGCCACGGCUAACUACGUGCCAGCCGCCGCGGUAA
rnacentral:rRNA from 1 species